UCGCUUCAGUUAGAUUAUUUGAAACUUCCUACAAGAAAUGGGAACAAGAGUAGUUAAAUAUGUGAUGAUUUCUGCGAAACAAAGUUUUACUUUGGCGACCUAGUUCUAUGCAAAUACGUAAGUGUUCCACGGACAAAGUAUCGAUAAACUGUUUAAACCUCAAAUAGUUAACUGAAGAUGCAAAGUGGAGAAACGGAAGAGGAUAUGUCCGACGAUCAACGUUUUUCUAGCGAGAUAGAAAUUAACUUAGGAAAUCUGUCCGAAUAUGAAAAAGGGUUUUCAGGAGUUAUUGCUCCCAACGUUUACCUGGAGAUCGAUGAGGAAAAGCGUCAUAAAACAUACGCAAUUUUGCAAGAAACACGCCAGGAUUUCUCUGAAAACAAACUAAAAUCAUUAUUAUUAAUUUACACCAAUAGUUCUUGGGACCUCUUUAUACUAUGUUCUCUAUUUAUCUCAUAUUUGUUAGACAGUACCAUUUACACUUUUUGCAAGCCCAACCAACGCCCUUUUUGUAUUGUAGUACUUAUAAUCUGUUUAAACUUCAUAUUUAUGUUCGAUGUGAUAGUAAAAGCUUUUUUAAAGUUCUUCAAGCAGUGGACUAAAACACUUAACAUUGUUGAACCAGAUACGAUCAAGGUCAUCUUAGAUACAGUACUAGCAUUGCCAUGUGGAUUUUGUUACUUUGUAGUUGAUAGUGAUUUUUCGUUUUACUGUCAUAGUUUAUCUCCAUUGUUUGCCGCAUUGCGAGUUUAUAGGAUCAUAGAGUACUUCUACAAUAAAUCUUCACAAGCUGGGAGCAACCAAUGGACAACAUUUUUAUUUCAAUAUUUGACGUUGUUUUUACUGUCCGUUCACACGAGUACGUGUAUCUGGUAUUUAUUUGCCAACCAAAGUUUCGAUUUGCACAAAUUUUAUUCGUCUUGGUCUCAUUCGGCGAUUUAUUUUCCGAUUGAAUCUACAUUAGAUUGGUAUUAUGUUUGUGCGUAUUGGUCAGUAACGAUUUUAACUACUAAUGCUCUUGGUGACCUCUACCCUGUUACGACAAUUGAGAGAAUCACUGCGAUAUUUGCAACUUUGUUAGGAUUCUUAUUAACGACCAUAGUCUUUGUGGGUUCGUUAACCUCUCAAUUUUUAACAAUAAGUACUAGACGAGCACAAUAUGUCAGACAGUUGAUGAAAAUUAGAAGAUACCUCGAGACUAUUAAUAUGGACUCUGAAACUACCACACGAAUCUUAAAAUACUAUGAAGAUCUUUGGUAUCAGAAAUCUGGAGUUUUCAAACCUGUACUGCUGAAAAUGUUGCCGUCUCCGCUGCAAAUGGAAAUAUGUUACGAUUUGAACGCCGUUCCGCUGUAUUGCUCUUUGUUAUUUAGGAAGCUUCCGGAAUCGUUCCUUAGGAGAUUGUCACUUGCUAUGACUCAUCAAUUUUACCUACCGGGUGAUGUUAUUUAUAGUCACAACCAGAAUAAGACCUUUAUGGUAUGUCUCACUAAGGGUGUUAUAGAAAUACUAUCUGAUGAAGAUGACGAGAGCCCGAUGAUUUCCUUUUCAAAAGGCACCUGUUUGGGCGAAAUAGCCUUAUUCCACAAUAUACCUGCAAGAUGUACAGUUAAAGCCGCGACAUACGUAGAAUGUCAAGUUCUAUCAAAAAUAAGUUUUAUACAACUUAUGAUCACUUAUCCGGAGAUAAAUGAGAAAUUAAGAUCGGAAAUUCAAGAUCGAAUACAAAAAAGCAAACGAACAAAACGAAAUCGGGAAAAUGAAAGGCGAUUAUCAUUGAACAUUUAUGCUUCAAGAAGUCGAAAAAAAAGUAGUAUUAAAUGCGUUAAAGACAAAUUAAGGUACAUUCAAGGUAAUCAAAAUCAAUAACUUAUUAUAUUACAGGGCGUAGAACUAACAGAAGAAAAUUGGAUAAAAAACUCGGUAAUACCGUCAGAGCUUCGAAAGAAAGUUCUACAUCAAGCAAGGUUCAAAGUGAUAACGUCAAUACGUUACUUCAAAGUAAAAAACAAAGCUUUUAUACAGAGUUUAACUGAAAUGGCCCAUGACGUCAUAUUGCCCCCCGGUGAAAUAUUGUACUAUAGCGGCACAAUUACCAGGGAAAUGUAUGUAAUUGAGAGUGGCUACUGUAUGCUCACUUAUAUGACCGAAAACAACAAAAAACAUGAGAGGAUUAUAGGUCCAGGAAAUCAUCUUUGUCUGCUGGUACUACUAUACGGAGUCCCCGCUAUUUAUACUGUUAUUACAAAAACUCAUUGUAAACUGAUAUCUAUAACUUAUUCGGCAUACUCGUCGGCUCUAAGUCUCUUCCCUGACAUGAAAGAACACGAGAAUCUAUUAACUUCAAACGAGCUCCAGUACAUUGAAUCAUUGUCUAAAUUGCAAAACGUUGAUAUGUACGUUAAACAUCGAUUUUGUCCGAGGAGUAAGAAAGUCAUUAAAAUUACAGGAAUCCUUCAAGAUUUCUUUGACGAUUCUUUUAUCAACGUUAUCACUUAUUAUAACCAAAACAAAAUGAACUAUAUGAAUUCUUAUAAUCAAUUCACCGCGCUCAGUAACAUCGCACGCUAUGUCCUACUGCCAGUCGUUAUAAAACCUGAUGGAAUAUUUCUAAGCAUCUGGUGCAUAAUCAGAGUGGCAGUAGCAAUGGCUCCUCUAUACGGGUCAUUUGCAGUGACAAUAUCGACUUUUGAAUACAUUAUGUACUUAGAUCUAUAUGUAAUGAUGCAUGUGGCAUAUUACGGAGAAAAAAACCAGUUAAUAUUUCAUCCAUAUCUAACAGCUAAACGAUAUAUUAAGGGUCCAUUCCUCGUAGACCUGAUAACAUGUUUUCCUUGGUUUUUGUUAUGGUUACUAUUCAUACCAAAACACGAUGAAGGACACACAACUCAAGAUCAUCUGACUCAUAAUCACUUUUCCCACUGCAUUGUAAAAAUGGUAAAUGUUCUGCAGAUAUAUAAACUCUGCACGGCUUUUUGGGCUGAUUCUAUCAGUGGUUUGAAACGGGCGUAUCUCAUGAGCGUUGUCCAAUUCUUUCUAUUAACAUUAUUUUUUUUGAAUCUAUACGCUUCAAUUUUGAUUAUGCUAUCUUGUACAUACGUUAUUGGUACAGAUAUAAAUGACUAUUCAGUCAAAAUAAAUCGAUUGCAAUCGCUAGAAAAGUAUGUAAAGUCUGAAUACAAUCCAGAUGGAAAUAUGGCAUGUCUGCGUGGUUCAUGGAUAGACAUGAUAGACGAAAAAAAUGAUACGCAGUAUCCACCAUCAACAGUUUUUCUCUUGGCUUAUUAUUGGGCUGCUGCAAGUCUUAGUGGCGCAGGCUUUGGAGACAUCACAGCGCAGGAUACCGGACAUCUUGUAUUGUCAAUAUGCGCUAAUAUCCACGGACUGCUAUUUUUUGGAUACGUUUACGCUAGGAUAGCGUCGUUGAAAGCGAUCGCCAAUACGGUCGUUACAAAAUUUCAAGAAAAUAUGAAACAUUUACAAAUGUUCUUGAAUAGAGAAAAGGUUCCUUUGAAUUUGAAGAAGUCAGUUAUUGAAUAUUGGAAAUAUCAAUGGAAAAGAACGGGUGGAUGGUGUCAUCAGUUAAUUCUUGAUAAACUCCAUUCGAAUUUAAAAGAAGAUGCAGUUUUAUACAUGUACGAGAAAACGCUUAGGGAAAUACCACUAUUCGAAAACUUGGAAUAUGCUUUUUUUCGAGCGGUGGCUAAGAAGCUUCAAGAGAAAUAUUUUCAAAAAGGUUUCAUGAUUUUGAAAUCACACGAAGUAAUGAGUGAUAUGCAUAUAAUAUAUCGUGGCAAGGUGGACAUAGUAUCAGAUAUAAAUGAAGUCGAAGCAUGUAUGGGACCUGGAGGUAUUUUCGGGAACAUACGAGGUGCAAGCAGAUACUUGACCAAGUCAAACGUUAUAGCUUCCAGAAAUACAGAUCUAUUAAGUAUUGACGGAAGAGAAUUUUACAAUUUACUAAAGAGCUAUCCCUCUGUGCUAAAGAAAGUUAAAGAAUCGGUUGAUUCAGCGGCCAAAGAUUACGUAUUGCCAACGUUUUCAUUUGAUAAGGACAGCGAUGACAUUGAAACAUAUGCUAUGAGUUACGAGCCCGGUGAUAAUGAUGACGAAAACGAAAUUGAUAUUUCACAAAUGGAGAGUCCCGAAAAAAGUAAUGCCGAAUCACACGGAUCAAGAUCAUUAACAUCAACCUAUUUAUAUUUCACAUCGGCAACGUUUUUGAUUUUUAAGCCACACAGAUGGUUCCGACGGAGCAUCAUACCUGACAGUAAAUUUAUAAUAUUUAUGGAAUACUUAAUUAUCGUCGCAUCUUACGUCGACUUUAUGUUGCUUAUUUAUCAAAUGGCAUUCCAAUCAAUUACUUAUUUCUUUUACGAGUGCGUCGUGGUGGACGCUCUUUUCAUUUUCAAAUUGUUCUUGGACAUUCACACCGGAUACUUGAACAGAUAUGGAGAUUACGUUUUGAGCCCAAGGAAAGUCCGAGAAAAGUACUUCUCGAAUAUUUUUCUACGUAGACUUGAUUUUUUGGCGAACUUACCAAUUAGUUAUAUAGCUUUUACUCUAUCGCUAAAACCUUCAACGCAAAUGAUAUUCUUUUGUUAUCUUCGCACGCCGCAGCUAUUCAGGAUUUCUUACAUGUUCAGUUAUCGAAGCCAGAAAAAUACAAACAUAGGAACCGGUAAUCUACUAUUUAAACUGACAUCUAUUGCAAUUUGGGCAACAAUACUUUCACAUAUAAACGCCUGUAUAUUUUUCAAGUUAUCGUGCCUUACGCCUGUGCAUUGUACGUCCACUAAUUGGAUGUCGAAGAAAGAACUCAACUUAACCCACAAGUAUAUACAGGAAAGUUACUUCACGAUUUACAUUGCGUCCUUGUGGUACGUGAUCAACUUGCUAACCAUUACGGGAACUGGAGAUGUAACAGCACAAAACAAUUUCGAAGUUAUAGAAACUAUUAUCAUCAUUAUCAUUAUAAAAUUCUGCACAGGUCUUCUAAUAUCGGAGAUGUCAGCAUUAAUAUCGGCGCAUUCAUCAUCCCGAAUAGCUUACGACUACGGAAUAAAUGAGCUUAGGGAUGGCCUAAGAGACAUGGGUUUGAGCGGCCAUCAAAUGGAAAAAAUGUGGGCCUAUGUAAAAGAACUGUGGAAUCGACAACAAGGAAAACAGAUGCCUGAAUUAGUCCUGAACUUGCCAAGUCGUCUGCGCAGCCAGGUGAUGUUGGCUGUGUACGGAUCUCAUAUCAGGGACUCUGUUAUAUUCAAGAGAACUGAAGAAGAUUUUCGGAGAAUGUUGGCUCUGUGGAUGAGACAUUGCGUUUUCUUCCCCGGAAACUACAUAGUCCAGUGCGGAGACUCGGACCAAUGCAUUUAUUUUAUCCACAGAGGACAAGUGGAAGUUUUGACAGUUCAUCCUAAUUUGACGGAGUCUAUUUACGAUAUUUUGGGGCCCGAGGACAGCUUCGGUAUUGCACAAGGUUUAUACGUUGGAGUCUUACAUCAUUUCUCGUUUCGAGCGCGCACCGUCGUCGAUAUUGUAUACUUGAAAUUGGAACAAUGGAAAUAUUUGUUGGAUUUUUAUCCGAAAUCCGCGAAAAUCGUCCAGAAGAAAGUUGAGAAUAUGUUUUUAGCUAUUUAGUUUUAACAAGAAACAGUUGAAUAAAUGUUUUGUUGUUUUAAAUGUUUAUGAAACAUUCAAGUAAAAUUAAAAUUUUCGAUUCUAAAAAAUAUAAAAUGUUCAA